CUAAGAUAUCCAUUCUACCAUCUUUACGUCAUUUUUAUACGUCGAUCAGAGUUUUAUUAGGCGAUACAAAAAGAUAGUGAUAAUUCAAAAGAUAAUUGGUUGGAAUGCAAUUAUCCAUCUGUACUAAAAAACCUCUAAAUGAAGCAUUGGUAAAAAGAAUUUUAUUUGCAAGAUUAGGACCGAUUUCAACGAAGUUGUAAGUGUAAAUAAAGUGGAGAAAGUUCUAAAACAUUCUACGGCAACUACGUGGUUUCUUUUAAUAAUAGUUUUUAAUUAUUUUUUAAUUGUAGUUAUAUAUUAAACGGUUUUUGUAAUGUUGAUUUUGUGGGUCGAUAUAUUAUAUAAAUGAACGUAAAACUUUUGUAAGAUGAGUUGCAUUCAAGUUAAUAAAUAAAUUUUUGGAAAGAA